UCGUGGGUGUGGUGUGGCUGGUAUUAGUGGUCGUGGGUGUGGUGUGGCUGGUAUUGGUGGUCGUGAUGGUGUGGUGUGGCUGGUAUUGGUGGUCGUGAUGGUGUGGUGUGGCUGGUAUUAGUGGUCGUGAAGGUGUGGUGUGGCUGGUAUUAGUGGUCGUGAUGGUGUGGUGUGGCUGGUAUUAGUGGUCGUGGGUGUGGUGUGGCUGGUAUUAGUGGUGGUUGUGGGUGUGGUGUGGCUGGUAUUAGUGGUCGUGAUGGUGUGGUGUGGCUGGUAUUAGUGGUCGUGGGUGUGGUGUGGCUGGUAUUAGUGGUCGUGGGUGUGGUGUGGCUGGUAUUAGUGGUCGUGAUGGUGUGGUGUGGCUGGUAUUAGUGGUCGUGGGUGUGGUGUGGCUGGUAUUAGUGGUGGUCGUGGGUGUGGUGUGGCUGGUAUUGGUGGUCGUGAUGGUGUGGUGUGGCUGGUAUUUGUGGUGUUGGUGUGGCUGGUAUUUGUGGUGUUGG